CUCACAGGCUGGCAGGCAGCCUGUGAUGGGGCCCUGCUCAGAAGACCCCCGCCUCUGCGGGGCCUCCAGGCUCCUAGGAUUCACCAGCUUCCUCCUCAAAACUGUACCCGUUCCUAAGAUCCUUGUCAAGUCAGCAUCCUUCACACCAGGCUGGUGCAAUGCCACUCUGGAGUGCACAGCCCCAGGGGAUACAAAGGACCUGAAGGUGACCUGGGAGAUCAAGGACCUUCCCAGGGAGCUGGAGCAGAGAGUGACAUCAGAACUACCCUCCAAGUCCUGGAACCUGACUCUGUGCCUGCCUGUGAGCCAGCCCAGUGGCAGCUUGACCUGUAUGGUCAGCAACCAGGUGGACCAGAAAACUGCCACCUUAGGCCUUGGAGAAGUCUGUGUCUCUGAUUCACCUGGAAACAAUGAUGAUAAGACCCUGUCAGGCAUCAUAGGGACUGUCGUGAUUAUCCUGUUGAUCUGCGUAAUUGGACUGUUCCUUUGGAAGACCUGUGUGAAGAAGAGGAAGAUGACGACUGGAAGAGGUGUAGAAGUUCAGGAGGAUCAGAGGGACAAUGAUGGUGGCCUCCACUAUGCGGAGCUGAGCCAGCAGGAGUCUGCCGCACACAAGGGUGUUGAUAAACAACAUUUAGAAGAAAAGGCGUCUAGUACUGUCUACAGUGAGGUCUGCAAGCCAGAAAGGGAGGCCAUGAAGAUACUUUAAUUGGAGAAAGCAGAAGAAUCGGAACUACUAGGACACCUCCACUCGGCGCUUGAUUCCUGAAGACAUCUGCGUCUCCCAGCUCUGGUCCAGCUCCAGCUGCCCCGUGACCCUCCCGCCCUUAAGUCCCUGUGCGCAUGUGGCCUUCUCACAACCUGUGUCGACUUCCCCAGCUGUCUUCCCACUCAAGAUCCUCACCCUGCAGGAUGAGAGCUCUUCUUCCAUCACUGACCCAGCGCCUAGCCCCUCUUCUCCUGAAACUUCUCAAAGAGGACCUUCCUGCACAUGAUAAUCCCCACAGCCUCUGCUGUGCGGUUGAUGUGUAUCUUUCUCAGCACUCAAGCCCAGGCGUGGAGACAGUUGACCAGACUACAGAGGACAAGGUUAGGCUUUGGUGCUGGGUGCUGAGUUGGGCGUCUGUGGAGGCAGCAUGGGUAGGUGGGAGCUUAUAAAAGACUGGCCUGAGGUUUCCUUUGCCCCUUAUGUAGGGCAAAAGUUGUAUGUCGGGCAAUGUACUUGUGUGUGUAUCUAUUUGUUGGUAUGUGUGAUGGGGGGAUAGCCAGUGCACUUUAUACAGUGGUCCAGCCCUUGUUCCUGAUCACUAGUACUAACUAACCUCAGCUUCAGCUCGUGGACCUCAAAUCCACCUCCUGUGGAGUGGGUAGAAUGUGUACAGUUUCUGGCCCUUCAAGCACCUAGGUUGGGAUUUGAGUCCUUAGAAAAGCAGCUUCAGGGCAUUCCUGUCUAGUGUGGCAGUCAUUAGAAUGGAAGUGCAGUGUGUUACCCCCUCCCCAAUACACACACACGUUCUCUAAUGAACCUGCUGUGAGAAGUGAAGCUUGUGAGAAGGUGUGAACCAGCCCUCUCCUGCCUCUUCUGCUGACCCUCAUCCCCCACAACCUGCUGGCCUCAGAUCCUAGUCAGCCUCCUGUUUGGUCACUCACAUACUUCUGCCUGAAAUGAUGGCUCCCUCCCUGCCCCUUACUCCUGUCCCUGCCUGUUGGAAUCCUAGCAUUCCACCCAAUCCUAGACCCCCUUCCAGGCCACAUGGUCUACAUGUACCCAAAGAUUUGGAAAUGGUCUCUCCCACAUCUAACUUUUUUGGACACAAUUGACAUACCCAAUUUGGCUGCCAUAGUUUGACUUGGGUUGGUCAUCAGUUUUCCCUGCCUGCAUCACCUAGAGCUCCCUCAGGAGGGUGUCAUGGCUUUAGGAGGCCAGUGCCAAAGAGACAAGCAUCUCUCUUUGUGAAUUGUCUGAGCUAUUCUUCCUCUCAACUACCACAGGAACUCAGCAGAUUGAUCUCAGAGCACAGCAUCUACCGAAGGUGUUUCUGGUAGUAAGUCCACAAGGAAGCAAAGAUGGACGUGAUGAACCCCAACAAUCCUGCCUAAUCAGGAUUGCUUGAGGACCUGAUGUCACCUGCACUGUAUUGUAUGGGAUCUUCUACUCUUCCUGGGGGUCGUCCUCUCCUCAAAGCCUCUGUCUCCUGCCUUCCAUUCCAGCUCUUGAGUUGGAGAUGAACUCACUCUGGUACUAUGAUCCUUUUGUCUUCUGGCCUGCAUUCUUGAAUCUCUUGGUUUCCCACCCAGCUUAGCAAUCUCAGCUUCUUCAUUUCUGACCUCAGAAAGAAAAGUUCUGAACUAAAAUCUUGAGCAAUAAGAAGCAAUGCUAGGAUCCUGCUGGAUGAGGAAGAAGCAGAGUUUCCUUAAUAAGGCUGUUUCCAGCCUGUUUAUUGUCAGGCUGAACAGCAGGCUGAGAGGGAAAAAGAUGACUUCUCUCACUGGAAUCCUAGGUGACCGGUCAUGGCUGAUAUCAGUGCCAUCAGUCCAGAAGCAGUGUGAGAUGUGACCAUCCAUUGACCCCCCCUCCCACCCACCUCGAUUCCCAAAGCAUAAGAC
ensembl:lncRNA